CUAUUCCCAAAACCGGUGGUACAAGUCAUAAGCCUUUCUAAGAGUAAUUAUACAAAAUAAAUACAACACGGUUCCAGAACGAGAAGGAACCAAUGGAACGUAAAUACAAACGAAGGUGACUCCAUGGCCUGCGAACGCAGCAACAAGUUACCGUGAGUCUCCACCGCGACGACCCGCACAGCUACUAUCGAUCAAUACCUGGAUCUGUACACAAAAAUAUAUAGAAGUGUAGUAUGAGCACACCACGGCGGUGCCCAGUAAGUAUAAAGACUAACCUCGGUGGGUAGUGACAAGGAACAGUCAAGACACCUACUGGUCAAAUGAAAUGAACAAGAUAUGAUAAUGAAACAUCGAGAUAAAGAUAACGAAGUAAUAUCAACAUCAGAAAGAGAUCAAAAUACCAACAGUAAGAACCAUAAAGGGAGAACACUGGUAGUAACGAACGGUAACCAAGUAAAUCAGAUAACCAAGUAAAUCAACACUGACAUAAUAGGAACAGAGACAAGUAAGAAUGUAUUUAAUUAAAGAAGGAGAUGCCCACUCAAUCAAUCACAUCAUGUCUAAUACAUAAUUCCGACCAUCUCAAUCAUCGGUUUCUCAUAUCAUAAUCUUAACUUCCGAACCUUCCGCACGCAUGGCACCUUGUGCCCCCAUAUUUUUCCAUCUCACUUUUAACAACAAAAUUCACAUUCUAUACAAUACAUAAUGUCCGUACAAUGCACUCAAUAUGUCCAAGAAGUCCCAUCUACCUAAUAUAAGUAAAAUUACAAUUUCUAAACUAAUUGGGAAAAGCCAGCAAGAAAAGAUGAAAUUAUUUCUUUUGAAAUUAUUUGAGUAAAGAAAGUACCCAUUUUAAUUUAAAAAUACAACAUUGAAUGGAUUAUUACCUUUAACAUGAUAUUUAAUAACUUAAAACUUAGUAGAUAUUCAUUUUUAAGUAAAAUACAACCUCAGACGAUUUCAGGGGUAUAAUUGAGAAACUAAUUGAAUUUCGGCUGUAACAAUUAUUGAAGUUUGAAAUAUUGCAGUAUAUAUAUAUAUAUAUAUAUAUAUAUAUAUAUAUAUACAUACAUACAUAAAUAAGUGAGAUAUUGAAAAUAUUGUAGGUUCUAACACAAAGGAUCACAACAAUAAAAGAAUUUAAAUAGUUUUAACACUUGAAUAUAUAACAACAAAUAAACAUAGCAGUAGAAAGUGCAUGGCACCACCCUUCGUGAUUUUACUCUUGUUCUCACCAUAAGAGUCAAUAUUCACUUUUAUUCUUUCUUGUUGCGGCGUGCAAUCCGAUCCCAAUCAUAUAGUACUGUUGCGGCAUGCAACCCGAUCCAAAUCAUAUAAUAUUAUUGCGGCGUGCAAUCCGAUCCAAAUCAUAUAAUGAUGUUGCGGUGUGCAACCCGAUCCAAAUCAUAUAAUAUUGUUGUGGCGUGCAACCCGAUCUAUAUAAUAUUGUUGCGGCGUGCAAUCCGAUCCAUAUAAUAUUGUUGCGGCAUGCAACCCGAUCCAUAUAAUAUUGUUUCGACGUGCAACCCGAUCCAAUAAUAUUGUGCGACAUGCAACCCGAUCCCAAUAUACAAAUCAACACCAAUCACCAAAGAAUCCCGACAAUGGAAUAAUAAGGGAACAACAAUAUCCCCACAAGGGAGUCAACAACGAGAAUAAACGCGUCCCGACAAGGGAACCAACAGUAAGAAUUAAAUAUGUCCCGGCAAGGGAAUUAGCUAUUACCAAACUUGUACCAACAAUUAACUUCACAAUGAAAUCUCAACUAAAUAAUAAGACAUAAUAAGCACGGGAUAACUACACCGGUAACCACCACAAUUGGACAUGUAACCUAUUUGCACGAAGUCAUAGAGGAACUCACAAUCAAGAAGUAUCAAAACAAUAAGGAAGGCAAUCACUCCAAUUAAGGCAAUUAAGGGUCAAUGUAACACGUAAGAAUUAGAGGAAAGCUAACAACGUCAUAUGGAGCAUAUAGAGGCAAUUUAAGCAACUAGGAAACCCAAUCAUAACAGGAUACUUUUCACAUAAGGACCUAAGAACCCUAGAGGCAAAUUUCUCACAAAUAAGUCCGAGCACACACUCGUCACCUUGCAUGCAUGGACUACAAUUAGCAUAGAAGACUCAAUUCCUAAGGGGAAGUUACCCACACAAGGUUAGGCAAGAUACUUACCUCAAUCCGGCCAAUUCAAUACUCAAUUUAGCUUUUCCUUUACCAAUUCAUCAAUGCUCG
rnacentral:lncRNA from 1 species